rnacentral:lncRNA from 1 species
UAUUUCUUCUAAUUUUAGAUGCAUAGCUACUGUCAGUCAUUCUAACAAGUUGACUUAGCGCUCAGUCACUUUCCAUCUAUAAGAUUCUCAUACUGUCAAAAGCCUAAAACUCCUGUUUGAAGCCCACAUAGAGUGGAAUAAAAAUGUGAGGAGAUAAGGUAUUUUCCCACUACUGCUACCACACCAACCACACUACGUCAAAUGCCUUACUAAAUCAUCACCCAAAUGAUAAAGUUUAUCCCACCUGAGUAAUGCUGUUGGCUGCUGUAAAUCCAUUAUUACGGUUUUUCAUCAUGAACAUUUCAGUGUGCUUCUUAGAAAAGAGCAUGCAAGAUCCCCACAGACAUCCUUUAGCAAUUGAAUGCUGGAUUUUGACCAUGACAGAAGAGGGACUUCCACCAACGUUCUGCUACAUCCUUAUCUUCAAGACGUACGCUCAUCCAGCUUCACUGCUUCAGUUCUUCUUUGCUGCUUCACUGGCGAGUUA